rnacentral:rRNA from 1 species
CAGAGUCCGAGUUGUAAUUUGCAGAGGGCGCUUUGGUGUCGGCAGCGGUCCAAGUUCCUUGGAACAGGACGUCACAGAGGGUGAGAAUCCCGUACGUGGUCGCUGACCUACACCGUGUAAAGCCCCUUCGACGAGUCGAGUUGUUUGGGAAUGCAGCUCUAAAUGGGAGGUAAAUUUCUUCUAAAGCUAAAUACUGGCCAGAGACCGAUAGCGCACAAGUAGAGUGAUCGAAAGAUGAAAASCACUUUGGAAAGAGAGUCAAACAGCACGUGAAAUUGUUGAAAGGGAAGCGCUUGCAGCCAGACUUGCUUGUAGUUGCUCAUCCGGGCUUUUGCCCGGUGCACUCUUCUGCGAGCAGGCCAGCAUCAGUUUGGACGGUUGGAUAAAGGCCUCUGUCACGUACCUUCUCUCGGGAAGGCCUUAUAGGGGAGGCGUCAUGCAACCAGUCUGGACUGAGGUCCGCGCAUCUGCUAGGAUGCUGGCGUAAUGGCUGUAAGCGGCCCGUCUUGAAACACGGACCAAGGAGUCUAACAUCUMUGCG